rnacentral:rRNA from 1 species
CGCUGGCGGCGUGCUUAACACAUGCAAGUGGAACGAAGUGUUAUGAAUGAAGUUCUUCGGAGCGGAUUUUAUAAGACUUAGUCGCGGACGGGUGAGUAAUGCGUGAGAACCUGUCUUGAAGCGGGGGACAGCCCAGGGAAACCUGGAUUAAUACCCCAUAAGCCUACGGGUGAAAGGAGAAAUCCGCUUUGGGAGGGGCUCGCGUCCUAUCAGCUAGUUGGUGAGGUAACUGCUUACCAAGGCAAAGACGGGUAGCCGGACUGAGAGGUUGAACGGCCACAUUGGAACUGAGAUACGGUCCAGACUCCUACGGGAGGCAGCAGUGGGGAAUAUUGGGCAAUGGGCGCAAGCCUGACCCAGCGACGCCGCGUGAGGGAAGACGGCCUUCGGGUUGUAAACCUCUGUUGCAGGGGAAGAAGGAAGUGACGGUACCCUGUUAGAAAGCCCCGGCAAACUACGUGCCAGCAGCCGCGGUAACACGUAGGGGGCGAGCGUUGUCCGGAAUUACUGGGCGUAAAGCGCGCGUAGGCGGUUGUGUAAGUCAGAUGUAAAAGGCAUGGGCUCAACCUGUGUGUGCAU